AUGGGGAUAACCCGGCCUCUCCUGGCCGGUUUAUACCCAGUAGUAAUAUCCCCAACAGGAUCCGGGGAACGCGGGCCGGUGGCGGACGGGAAUGGGGACCAGUGGCAGCAGGGAAUGAGAUCUGGUCGCAGUCUACUCCCUCCCUCUCUCUCUCUCUCUCUCUACCCGGUGCUGGUGUCGCCGAUGCAGUACCAAGUCAGGGUGAUCUUAGCCUUCUUCAAGGUGUCAGACAGAACUGAAGAAGAUGACGGUGCCAUCAGAGACUUUGUGAUGCAAACGAAUCAUCUCUGUAACUUUGUGAUACAAUAUAAACUUUACAAUAUAGUUGGUUUCCUAUGCAAUAUAAACUUGACAUCUUCGUCUUUUUUUAUUUAUAUACAAGGGAUGGUGACUAUGUUAUUGUCAAUGGUGGUCUGA
rnacentral:rRNA from 1 species